GAGGAAUUUGCUUACAAAUGCAUAUGAUUGGUCAGUUUGAAAACGACCCCAUCACCUCCUACAACGCAACGCAUGUCAUAUACACUUUCCUCAUCAGCGACAGCGUGUUCUUGUGCAAUCCUCUGUUAUACCGUGAACUGUUUCAAGCUUGACCGUCAUCAUGGCCAAACUAGUGCUCUUUUUUGUCCUUGUCGCUCUUGUAGCCGUAGCCUUGUGUCAAAAUGCCCAAGAUGCCGAUAAUGCUCCAAGUACUGUUGCGAUGGAAACUAAAAUGUCGAUGGCAGAUGCUGAUGGUAACAAUACAGUAGCCGAGCAAAGUGCUGGCUCCGCUGAACCAGAACCAGAAACAACUGUACAAGUGGACAGUUCAGCCAAUGGUAUCCAAGCAGCCAGUCUUGGGCUUCUGAUGUUGUCAACGCUUCUCAUCGUUAUGGUAUAAAACAUCGUUCGAGAAAGCCAGUCUUCCGUUUUAUGUAUGCUUUCAGUCACGUGAUACGCCUCUCCACCCCAUUGAACCGCUUCUCGUAUCUUGUCUUAUCCAUGAAGACAGAUUUAAGUCAUCGGAAAUGAAAUGAAAAAUCAACUUUUAUAUUCUUAAGUUUUCUUCAGUUUGUGAUAUUGAAGUGCCUUUAUUAUUUUAACAAAGCAGUCAAGGGUUGCAGCCCCAGUAAUAAGUUUACGAACUUUAACAUAUCAUUACAUUGGAUAUGUUGUUCCUUUUUAUUUUUCGAUUUACUGUGCUUGCCACAGUCUAAACAUCCUGUCGGUGAGUAAUAGUCACGACUGACUUGGUCAUUGCAAACAAACAGCAUCUAGGCUCAGACUCACACUUAAAUCCCAUGAAAAUCCAAGCUACUAUUGUUAAAUUAAUAAAGGUCACUGCGAGCAUGCGGGGUCAAUGUUGUCUAAUUUUUUAACACUUACAAUACUGUAAUCACAUUCCAACGAGUCCACAUGAUGCUUAUGACUGCAGUUGCCAUGGUGACCAUCUAUGAUUAGCUGAAUGGACAGCUGGAAUGUUUUCUGCCUGAGUCACUCUAAUUACCGCCUACUAGGAGGAGUCUUCAACUACGGAAUACCUAGUAUUCCUACAAAAUUCCGUGUAAUUGCUGGGAUGUUGUAUACGUAGUGUGCAUUGCAAGUAAACCGAAUUAGUGAUUCGGUGUCACGUGAUGUUGAAGAUUUUUAUGUUUUUGAAUAAAUUACAUUUAAAUUAAAUU